GACGAACGCUGGCGGCGUGCUUAACACAUGCAAGUCGAACGCUGAAGCUCAGCUUUUGUUGGGUGGAUGAGUGGCGAACGGGUGAGUAACACGUGAGUAACCUGCCCCCUUCUUUGGGAUAACGCCCGGAAACGGGUGCUAAUACUGGAUAUUCACUGGUCUUCGCAUGGGGGUUGGUGGAAAGGGUUUUUCUGGUGGGGGAUGGGCUCGCGGCCUAUCAGCUUGUUGGUGGGGUGAUGGCCUACCAAGGCUUUGACGGGUAGCCGGCCUGAGAGGGUGACCGGUCACAUUGGGACUGAGAUACGGCCCAGACUCCUACGGGAGGCAGCAGUGGGGAAUAUUGCACAAUGGGCGCAAGCCUGAUGCAGCGACGCCGCGUGAGGGAUGGAGGCCUUCGGGUUGUGAACCUCUUUCGCUCAUGGUCAAGCCGCAACAAUGGUUGUGGAGAGGGUAGUGGGUAAAGAAGCGCCGGCUAACUACGUG
rnacentral:rRNA from 1 species